AAUUGGAGGGCAAGUCUGGUGCCAGCAGCCGCGGUAAUUCCAGCUCCAAUAGCGUAUAUUAAAGUUGUUGCAGUUAAAAAGCUCGUAGUUGAAUUUCGGGGUUAGUAGGUUGGUCAUGCCUCUGGUAUGUACUGAUCUCACUGAUUCCUCCUUCCUUAUGAACCGUAAUGCCAUUAAUUUGGUGUUGCGGGGAAUUUGGACUGUUACUUUGAAAAAAUUAGAGUGUUUAAAGCAGGCUAACGCUUGAAUACAUUAGCAUGGAAUAAUGAAAUAGGACGUUCGAUCUUAUUUUGUUGGUUUCUAGGAUUGACGUAAUGAUUAAUAGGGAUAGUUGGGGGCAUUAGUAUUCAAUUGUCAGAGGUGAAAUUCUUGGAUUUAUUGAAGACUAACUACUGCGAAAGCAUUUGCCAAGGAUGUUUUCAUUAAUCAAGAACGUAAGUUAGGGGAUCGAAGACGAUCAGAUACCGUCGUAGUCUUAACCAUAAACUAUGCCGACUAGGGAUCGGAUGAUGUUAAUUUUUUAAUGACUCAUUCGGCGCCUUACGGGAAACCAAAGUGU
rnacentral:rRNA from 1 species